AAACAGGAGGGAGAAAUCCAUGGAUCCGACAAAAGUCAGUCAAGUGCAAGGAUCAAUGAUGUACUGACACAGCAACAUGAAGGUGUUGCAUCAAUUUACUGUUUGGGAUCAGACUAAAAGGCUUGUUCUUCUUUGUUUAAAAAAAAAAGGAUUUUCUUUGGGCAGAGAGAAUAACAGAGAGCAUACAUUGAAAUGAAAGAAAUAGGUGGACGGAUUCAAGCUUGGGAGUAGAUUUCUCGGUCUAAGAAAGAAGUUGUAUGCUUGGGAGAUUUAUUUCAAGAAUGUCAUAGAAGGUUUAAGGAAAGAGGAAUUCAAGCAGUUAUCAUCAAUUUCUCUUCUUGUGAUGGCUGGUGGAGCUAUGUCUCUCUUCUCAUCCAAGAUGGCCUACCUACAGGACUUGGCUUCACUAAUAAUGUUAUUGCAGAUGCUGAAGCCCCACGCUCAUCAAUAUAGCCUCUAGAAGUUCUUCCACCAGACCCUUUUCACUUUUUUAGCG
rnacentral:lncRNA from 1 species